UACGUAGGGACCAAGCGUUGUUCGGAUUUACUGGGCGUAAAGGGCGCGUAGGCGGCAAUUCAAGUCAGGUGUGAAAUCUCCGAGCUUAACUCGGAACGGUCAACUGAUACUGUUUUGCUAGAGUACAGAAGGGGCAAUCGGAAUUCUUGGUGUAGCGGUGAAAUGCGUAGAUAUCAAGAGGAACACCUGAGGUGAAGACGGGUUGCUGGGCUGAUACUGACGCUGAGGCGCGAAAGCUAGGGUAGCAAACGGG
rnacentral:rRNA from 1 species